rnacentral:misc_RNA from 1 species
GCAAACUUGGUCAUUUAGAGGAAGUAAAAGUCGUAACAAGGUUUCCGUAGGUGAACCUGCGGAAGGAUCAUUCGUAGUAUUACUCCCUUUAUGGUUAUGGGGGGAGGUAUUAUGAGUUCCAAUGUAAAGUUUUUAAAAGUAGUUGUAAUUUGCCAAGUAAGGGAAAAAGAAGGAAAUGAAAAGGGGUAAGGAGAAGCCUCUCAGGUAAAUCUCCCCCUCUUUUUUUCUCUUUAAUUUUGAUCUUUUUGGCGUAUAUAGUAAGAAUAAUAAUCUUUCCGAGUGUAUUUUCUUCAAGUGCCAUUAGUUUAUGAUAAAAGAUAUUUUAUAUACAACUUGUAACAAUGGAUCUCUUGGUUCAUGCAUCGAUGAAGAACGCAGC